GCAACCUGCCCAAAAGAGGGGGAUAACACUUGGAAACAGGUGCUAAUACCGCAUAACCAUAGUUACCGCAUGGUAGCUAUGUAAAAGGUGGCUAUGCUACCGCUUUUGGAUGGGCCCGCGGCGCAUUAGCUAGUUGGUGGGGUAAAGGCUUACCAAGGCAAUGAUGCGUAGCCGAACUGAGAGGUUGAUCGGCCACAUUGGGACUGAGACACGGCCCAAACUCCUACGGGAGGCAGCAGUAGGGAAUCUUCCACAAUGGGCGAAAGCCUGAUGGAGCAACGCCGCGUGGGUGAAGAAGGUCUUCGGAUCGUAAAACCCUGUUGUUAGAGAAGAAAGUGCGUGAGAGUAACUGUUCACGUUUCGACGGUAUCUAACCAGAAAGCCACGGCUAACUACGUGCCAGCAGCCGCGGUAAUACGUAGGUGGCAAGCGUUAUCCGGAUUUAUUGGGCGUAAAGGGAACGCAGGCGGUCUUUUAAGUCUGAUGUGAAAGCCUUCGGCUUAACCGGAGUAGUGCAUUGGAAACUGGGAGACUUGAGUGCAGAAGAGGAGAGUGGAACUCCAUGUGUAGCGGUGAAAUGCGUAGAUAUAUGGAAGAACACCAGUGGCGAAAGCGGCUCUCUGGUCUGUAACUGACGCUGAGGUUCGAAAGCGUGGGUAGCAAACAGGAUUAGAUACCCUGGUAGUCCACGCCGUAAACGAUGAAUGCUAAGUGUUGGAGGGUUUCCGCCCUUCAGUGCUGCAGCUAACGCAAUA
rnacentral:rRNA from 1 species